UGUACUUUCUGGAGUUCAAUGAUCGCA
rnacentral:piRNA from 1 species